UUCAUAUUCACCUUCUCAUAACAGAAAGCAGGAAAUUUGCAGACAUGAGAAUCAUUUCUGUGUUAAUGUAAUUCUCUAGAGUGCAGCCUACACAUGACUGAUAACGACAUAAAGGAUCGUUUAUCUAAUUAUUAUCAUUUUCAUGGAUUAUGGUGGAGAUUCAGAUUAAUUUGAGGGAACUGGAAAUAGAUCAGUUUUCAAUCUGACCUUCACAGGAAGCGUUAAUUACAUCACAACACGUUCAUAUCAUUAUUAAUAAUAACAAACAGCUGAAUUAUUUCCCACAUUAAAUUGAUAUGGAGAUGAAACGGGGUGUGAGUGUGAUUAACAGCUGCAGAGCUGCACUCAACACAGCCUCUCUGUAAUGUUUAUGCAAAUCUGCAUCUCCUCUUGUAAUAUUAGCAGCGUUCUGAUCUAGAGAGGAAACACUUCUCAUUAGUCUUCCUUCAACACAAACAUGUUUGCUUCAGCUCCACUGCUGCUGCUGGCUCUCGCCCCCUAUGUGUUCUGUGCUACUGAGCUCAUCCAGCCAGACUCACUGCUUAUAAAGCCAGGAGAGACUUUAACCAUCACCUGUAAAGUGUCUGGAGCUUCUAUCACUGAUAGUAGCAACCACUUUGGAACAUCUUGGGUUCAACAACCUGCAGGAAAAGCUUUAGAAUGGAUCAACACCAUGUAUCAUGAUGGAAAUAGUCAUCAAAAAGAUUCACUUAAAGACAAGUUUGUGGUCUCUCGAGACACUUCCAGUAACUCUGUGACCUUACAGGGACAGAACAUGCAGACUGAAGACACAGCUGUGUAUUACUGCGCUCGUUAUCCACACAGUGACACGACAAGCUGCAGUGCUGCACAAAAACCUCAUCACAAUUCACUUCUUUAAUUAAAUAACAACUACAUUUUACUGAGUAACUAAUCCCCAUAUUACAAAUAUUUCAGCAUAGACACCAACACUGGUAUUAAAGAGUGGACUAGCUUAUUGAUCACUUGAGUGGAGUUCUCAGGAGCUUGACAUUUCAUAGCAAUGUGUCCGUCCUCUCACGUAUUUCAUUUAGUAAGUUCAAGAAAGUAGGUGGUCGCUUUUUUCUCUCCCUUAGUCGCAACUGCAGGAGCAUCAUGUCUGAUUCAACGUCUCCUCGGAUCAGCUGUUCUACUCUUGCUCUGUCAACAUUGGCCGAAGACAAACCUCCUCUUUGAACAACUUUGGCCAGAGAUUUCUCCAUCCGUCUCAAGAAAUCAGAUAAGGAUUCUCCAGGAGACUGGCAUAGUAGUCGAAAAGCAAAAUACAAGUCUUCUCCAGACUCGGAGGAUCCAAAUGUGCUUUCCAGGGCU